GGAUGUGGGCGCCGGCCUGGCCUCGGCAGGCGGCAGAGCUCAACAUUGUGGUUCCGGGUUCCUGGAGAUCACGGGGCCGCGGCGGCUGUUUCCCGUAAAUCGCCGCCGCCGCCGCCGCCGCGUUCGCUUCCCGCUGUGUGCCAGAAACCCCCUCCUGAGAAUAGCCGGAGGUGAAGUUGUAGAUAUGGAUGACCACCAUGAAGCAAAAGAUGAGACGCGGUGUGCAACAUCACAAGAGAAAACAAAAGUCAGAGAGGAAAGUAAAAGGAAACGGAAGCGAAGCAGAAGCAGAUCCUCCUCCAUCUCUUCCUCUACAUCUUCUAGUUCUUCUACAUCCUCCUCUUCCAGGUCUUCUUCCAGGUCUUCUGCCUCGCAAAGCAGAAGCAGUUCAAGUAGCAGAGGUAGGAUUAUGUUGUGAGUUAUGAAAUUCAUUCUUUAGAUGCUGCCUUUAGAUGUUAUAUA
rnacentral:lncRNA from 1 species